AAGCCAGCUGUGAGCAGGCCAUUGCUUAGAAAAGUGUCUGAGCCGACAACGGUGUGGGAAACUCCUGUGCCCAAGGCUGGCAAGCAGAGCGGCAACAGGAUCAGCGCCUGCCCGGUGAAGCUGCGCAGA
rnacentral:SRP_RNA from 13 species